GUGGGGAAUCUUGCGCAAUGGGCGAAAGCCUGACGCAGCGACGCCGCGUGAGGGAAGAAGGCCUUCGGGUUGUAAACCUCUUUCAGGAGGGACGAAGCUACUCGGGUUAAUACCCCAGAGGGUGACGGUACCUCCAGAAGAAGCCCCGGCUAACUACGUGCCAGCAGCCGCGGUAAUACGUAGGGGGCAAGCGUUGUCCGGAAUUAUUGGGCGUAAAGAGCGUGUAGGCGGCCAGAUAAGUCCGCUGUGAAAUCUCGAGGCUCAACUUCGAGCUGUCGGUGGAAACUAUCUGGCUAGAGUCCGGAAGAGGAGAAUGGAAUUCCUGGUGUAGCGGUGAAAUGCGCAGAUAUCAGGAAGAACACCCGUGGCGAAGGCGGUUCUCUGGGACGGUACUGACGCUGAGACGCGAAAGCGUGGGGAGCGAACAGGAUUAGAAACCCGAGUAGUCC
rnacentral:rRNA from 1 species